rnacentral:rRNA from 1 species
AAAUUGAAGAGUUUGAUCAUGGCUCAGAUUGAACGCUGGCGGCAGGCCUAACACAUGCAAGUCGAACGGUAACAGGAAACAGCUUGCUGUUUCGCUGACGAGUGGCGGACGGGUGAGUAAUGUCUGGGAAACUGCCUGAUGGAGGGGGAUAACUACUGGAAACGGUAGCUAAUACCGCAUAAUGUCGCAAGACUAAAGAGGGGGACCUUCGGGCCUCUUGCCAUCGGAUGUGCCCAGAUGGGAUUAGCUAGUAGGUGGGGUAACGGCUCACCUAGGCGACGAUCCCUAGCUGGUCUGAGAGGAUGACCAGCCACACUGGAACUGAGACACGGUCCAGACUCCUACGGGAGGCAGCAGUGGGGAAUAUUGCACAAUGGGCGCAAGCCUGAUGCAGCCAUGCCGCGUGUAUGAAGAAGGCCUUCGGGUUGUAAAGUACUUUCAGCGGGGAGGAAGGGAGUAAAGUUAAUACCUUUACUCAUUGACGUUACCCGCAGAAGAAGCACCGGCUA